rnacentral:lncRNA from 1 species
CUCUUGAGCUCUUGUGGUGACCUGGGAAUCAAUGUGUGAGGUGGUGCUAUGUAGCAGGAACCCCUCUUGCUUUGCAAAUAGUUUUUUGUUUGUUUUCCUUUUUGCCCAAUAGAGCCCUGCUCUACUGACCCUUCAAUGUGCCCGUGUGCCUAAAUAUUCCUGGUCGUGUGAAAAGAACCCAGGUAUUAGCUGAACUAAGGAGCACAAUUCUGCAACAUUUUGGCACCCAAACACGGGGCUUGAGAAAUGAAUGCAAUUGGAGAAACUGGUUGUUUUACCAGGCGUUGAUUGGAAAUGUGUGCUUCCCUUUAAGCAGUCAAGCUCAACUUGCAGAACUGAUGGGAACCCCUUGGGAAAACUGGCCUCAAAUGUUUGUCUACACAGUCCACAUACAGGGUUCUUAACCUGCGUUUUUACCUACAUUUUAGACUGACCCUGCUUGUGCCUGUGAACCAACCAACAAUCUCUGGCUGCAGCUCAGAAAGGACAAAAGAGAAUGGCAUAUUUAACUAUCCGGCUAUUUUGGAGAUUGAAAAAAGAAGACCUGAUUUAUCAUGUGCAAUAUCUCACACAUCUGUCAUUUCUAUUCUACCGCAAUUCGAUGGAGUCUUGUUCUGUGGUCCAGGCUAGAGGGCAGUGGCAUGAUCUCGGCUCACUACAAGCUCUGCCUCCCGGGUUCACGCCAUUCUCCUGCCUCAGCCUCCUGAGUAGCUGGGACUACAGGCGCCCGCCACCACGCCUGGCUAAUUUUUUGUAUAUUUACUAGAGAUGGCUAGUGUUAGCCAAGAUGGUCUCGAUCUCCUGACCUCGUGAUCUGCCCACCUCAGCCUGCCAAAGUGCUGGGAUUACUGGCGUGAGCCACCGUGCCUGGCCAGCAUCCUCUAAUUAUUAUUCAUAGUUUGUGAAUUUAGGCCUACGUGAAUAAUAAUAUAAUAUUUACUAUGAUGUUACUAUCUACCAACCUUAUUUUUCUUUUCUAUAAAAUAGGAGCCAAAAUAAUAUUUAUGUCAUACCUUAUGAAGUUAAAAUAAAAUAUAACGAAUGAGGGGCUUAACAA